AUGUAUGCAUAAUAAUAUCAACAACAUUCACUUGUUCAUUGAUAUGCAAGUCAUAAGACUAGUGUGCAACACACACAUCAGUAGGCACACAGUUGGGGUUGCAGGACCCUCUGCCAUGACCUUCAAAAAUGGGCUGAGAGAGAAUUGUUCUCUCUGAGGGGGCAAGAGAUCACAUGUGCAUCCGUGUCAUGUGCUCCUACAGGCUGAAGAUCCCACUCCUCCUGGCCACUGACACGGCCAUGUGCAUGGGACCCUGAACACAAAGAGCUAACUAGGGUCACUUCAAACACAGGCUCACAGGGGACAGAGCAAGUUUAUGUGUGCGGACUCUGUAUUGGGCCAACCAUGUUCAGAAUGGGCAGAGAUAUUUUAUCUCUCCCAAAUGCAAACCGAUGGGCUUCCUGGGGAUAACCGUAUCCAAACCUCAGAGGGACUGGAACAGAUCAAACAACGGGGAUGUCCCUCCUGCAGCUGCUGUCUCUCCAAACAACACUGCUCCUAUAAGCAGAGCGCACUCACUCAGUAAAUAUCUCCUGCCUCUCUGUGCUCUCGUGACUCUAGAUUGCUCUGCUUCCACCACAUCAAAGGCAGUUUUGUCAUGGCAUAAUGGAGUGAUUGUGUGUUUGUGUGCCUGUGCAUGUUGUUUUUAGGGUGGGCUGCUUUCACUUCAAAACAAGAAUAAAUAAAAAGAAAGAUUAUA